AAGACGAGACGUGGCGGCGUUCAGGAAGAACCUCGUGGAGCUCGCGGAGCUGGAGCUGAAACACGCCAAGGGGAACCUCCAGCUGCUGCAGAGCUGUCUGGGCGUGCUUAAAGGAAACUCUUAACUGUGGAGCCCCGCCCACUUCCAACUGGACACGCCCACCCCAGAUGGACACGCCCGCCUCUUGCUGGACACGCCCACUUCUCUCUGGACACGCCCACCGCCGGCGGCGCCCGGACAGAUGGACGAACGACACCGAGACCUGUGGACCAGCAGAGAGAACGAAGGGUUAAAAACAGGAAGUCGUUAACCCGACACCCCCCUCCUCUUCCUCUUCACCCUCCUCUUCCUCUUCACCCCCAUCCCACUCCUUUACUGGUUCUACUGGUUCUACUGGUCUACUGGUCCAGCAGAGGACCUUCAUUUGAAGCUAUUUUUCUUUUAAACUGACACAGUUCCAGUUAGUCCAGUUAUUUACCUCCACUGGUCCCAGUUGGUCCCAGUUGGUCUCUGCUGGUCCCAGUUGGUCCCAGUUGGUCCCAG